CAGAAAAAGUGAUCAAAUCUACUGGGUCAAAAAUAUACACACAUGGAUCUGAAAAAGCGAAUCAUUGACUUGAACAAGUCAGGAAAGUCACUUGGAGCCAUUUCAAAGCAGCUGCAGGUCCCAAGAGCAACAGUGCAAACAAUUGUUUGUAAGUAUAAAGUGCAUGCCACUGUUUUUUCACUGCCACGUUCAGGAAGAAAAUGCAAGCUAUCACCUGCUGCUGAGAGAAAAUUGGUCAGGAGGGUGAAGAUUCAACCGAGAAUCACCAAAAAGCAGAUCUGCCAAGAAUUAGAAGCUGCUGGAACACAGGUGUCAGUGUCCACAGUCAAGCGUGUUUUGCAUCUCCAUGGACUGAGAGGCUGCUGUGCAAGAAGGAAGCCCUUGCUCCAAAAGUGGCUCGACUGAAGUUUGCUGCUAAUCACAUGGACAAAGAUAAGACCUUCUGGAGGAAAGUUCUGUGGUCAGACGAAACAAAAAUCGAGCUGUUUGGCCACAAUGCCCAGCAAUAUGUUUGGAGGAGAAAAGGUGAGGCCUUUAACCCCAAGUACACCAUGCCUACCGUCAAGCACGGUGGUGGUAGUAUUAUGCUGUGGGGCUGUUUUGCUUCCAAUGGAACUGGUGCUUUACAGAGAGUAAAUGGGAUAAUGAAGAAGGAGGAUUACCUUCAAAUUCUUCAAGAUAACCUUACGUCAUCAGCCCGAAGACUGGGUCUUGGGCGCAAUUGGGUGUUCCAACAGGACAAUGACCCCAAACACACAUCAAAAGUGGUAAUGGAAUGGCUAAAUCAGGCUAGAAUUAAGGUUUUCGAAUGGCCUUCCCAAAGUCCUGACUUAAACCCCAUUGAGAACUUGUGGACAAUGCUGAAGAAACAAGUCCAUGUCAGAAAGCCAUCAAAUUUAACUGAACUGCACCAAUUCUGUCAAGAGGAGUGGUCAAAGAUUCAACCAGAAGCUUGCCAGAAGCUUGUGGAUGGCUACCAAAAGCGCCUAAUUGAAGUGAAAAUGGCCAAGGGACAUGUUACCAAAUAUUAGCGCUGCUGUAUGUAUAUUUUUGACCCAGCAGAUUUGAUCACUUUUUUCUGUUCACCCAUAAUAAAGUCAUAAAAGAACCAAACUUCAUGAAUGUUUUUUUGUGACAAAGAAGUAUCUGUUCCAAUCACUCUAUCAGAGAAAAAUCAGAGUUGUAGAAAUAACUGGAAACUCAAGAGAGCCAUGACAUUAUGUUCUUCACAAGUGUAUGUAAACUUUUGACCACAACUGUAUGUCACAGGUAAAUCCCGAAUUUAGCAGGAUAUAAAUCUAAAAGGGACUUUCUUCUUCACGCCUCUGCCUUUUUCUCUAAACAGGCUGAGCACCGUCCCACCAACCUCCACACACACACACACACACACACACACACACACGUACAAGUCGACUGGGACACAGUUUGGGGAAAUAUUUUAUUCAGUCAGUUUUUGUUACAUCAAUAAAAUUUGAAUAAACAACUUGUCCUGAAUGUUUGGGCUAACAUAGCUCACAAAACACAAUACACAAAACUUUAGCAAUUUUAACUUUUUGUUUAAUAUGUGUAUUAAAUUGCUAGUUUUCUUUUUUUAUAGACUAGUCAACUGGUCACAAAUAAAAUCUGAAGCUAGUCGGCAGGGAAAUUAGUAGAAAUUUCGAUCCCUAACUGUUAUGUGGGGAUCGGAGACAGAUCAGUACUUUUAACCCAAUUGGUCGACUUCCUGUUGAUUACAUGAUUCAACAGCUUUUCUUUUAGUUGAGUUGUAGAAAAAAAUAAAACUAUAAACAAAGGCUGCAACGAGGUCAUAAAAUGUGGGCUGUAAUCCUUCACAAUUUAUAAUAGCCCAUAUAUCUACGUAGUGCUCUUCUUUCUGAUAUAGGGUCACAUGGUUGAAUUCCUCUGAUAGUGCCACAUCUGCUGAGACGUCUCAUAACUUGCGUCGGAAUCUGACAGCCUUACCGUUGCUGAAACAAACAUUGACCUAAACUAAGUCCAUAUUUUACACGCGUUGAAAGCCACAUUUGCAUUCCGGCCUCCCAUCCAAGCAGCCGGAGACUAUUACCAUUUCAUUAGCUGACGCUCGCCUACUCUGAAGCCGUUGUUGACUUGUCAUUUUUGGCUUGGCUUACCGCCCUUCUGCUCAGUCGCCUUGGCUGCAAAUUCACUGUCAAUGAGUGAAAAGGUGUUAAGUCACGGCUCACCAAAUAAAAGCGGUGGUAGACGGCUGCAAUGAAGUCAUGACCCGAUGUUUUCCUCACACACCCUGGCACCCGUGUUGUUUAUUGCUCAGGUGCCCCCCCCCCCCACCCCUCAAAAAAAAAAAAAAUAAAUAAAACAGCCAGCCUCGGCCUGGUAUGCUUGUCCAAGGACAGAGAAGAUAAAAAGUCAGGAAACGUUUUUUUGAAAAAGCAACUCAAGAGUUGGCUUCUUUUGGUUCGCAGCUCAUUACUGUCCCCGCCGACUAUCUGCCUUGUGCUUAACUGACCUGCCGACCGCCUCCGUGACGCCUCACUCCAAAAUAUGCUGCUGUCAUUCUCUGAUGAAAUCGGCAUAAUGAUAUAAACCCCAAAAUAUGUCGAGCGUAUCUUUUAUCAUUCCUCCAUUUUUUUGUCUGCUUUGUGCAGCAAUGCGUGUUUUAUUUUCCAUAACCCCCCCCCCCCCCCCCACACACACACACACACACCCUUGUAUUCUGGGGUCAGUAAUGAGCUGCUCUGGUUUCUCUUUCCUGCCACAGGCAUAUUUUCUUUCUCCACAUGCACUACCUCAUCAUUCUCCUUGCUUCUUCCUUACGGUUUCUUCUCUCCCACUUUUAAGAAUGAGCCCCCCGUGCGGCCAUCAUCUGUCUUCGCUGUGUGAAAUAUGUAUGAGUGCUUGUACAUUUGCCCUCCGGCUAGACGCAGGCGGCAUCACCCGUGGCCUCCGAGGCCGGAAUGUUAAAUUGAGAGGCGGUCCCUAUCCAGGAAGCUUUGCGAACCAAAAAUCUGACUGCAACAAGAUUCACUAGUGGUUAUACACUCACCGGCCACUUUAUUAGGUAAACCAUGCUAGUAACGGGUUGGACCCCCUUUUGCCUUCAGAACUGCCUCAAUUCUUCAUGGCAUAGAUUCAACAAGGUGCUGGAAGCAUUCCUCAGAGUUUGGUCCAUAUUGACAUGAUGGCAUCACACAGUUGGUGCAGAUUUGUCGGCUGCACAUCCGUGAUGCGAAUCUCCCAUUCCACCACAUCCCAAAGAUGCUCUAUUGGAUUGAGAUCUGGUGACCGUGGAGGCCAUUUGAGUACAGUGAACUCAUUGUCAUGUUCAAGAAACCAGUCUGAGAUGAUUCCAACAUCAUGACAUGGCGCAUUAUCCUGCUGAAAGUAGCCAUCAGAAGUUGGGUACAUUUUGGUCAUAAAGGGAUGGACAUGGUCAGCAACAAUACUCAGGUAGGCUGUGGCAUUCCAAAGAUGCUCAAUUGGUACCAAGGGGCCCAAAGAGUGCCAAGAAAAUAUUCCCCACACCAUUACACCACCACCACCAGCCUGAACUGUUGAUACAAGGCAGGAUGGAUCCAUGCUUUCAUGUUCUUGACGCCAAAUUCUGACCCUAUCAUCCGAAUGUCGCAGCAGAAAUCGAGACUCAUCAGACCAGGCAACGUUUUUCCAAUCUUCUAUUGUCCAAUUUCGAUGAGCUUGUGCAAAUUGUAGCCUCAGUUUCCUGUUCUUAGCUGAAAGGAGUGGCACCCGGCGUGGUCUUCUGCCACUGUAGCCCAUCUGCCUCAAAGUUCGACGUACUGUGCGCUCAGAGAUGCUCUUCUGCCUACCUUAGUUGUAACGGGUGGUUAUUUGAGUCACUGUUGCCUUUCUAUCAGCUCGAACCAGUCUGGCCAUUCUCCUCUGAACUCUGGCAUCAACAAGGCAUUUCCGCACAAAGAACUGCCGCUCACUGGAUAUUUUUUCUUUUUCGGACCAUUCUCUGUAAACCCUAGAGAUGGUUGUGCGUGAAAAUCUCAGGAGAUCAGCUGUUUCUGAAAUACUCAGACCAGCCCUUCUGGCACCAACAACCAUGCCGCAUUCAAAGUCACUCAAAUCACCUUUCUUCCCCAUACUGAUGCUCGGUUUGAACUGCAGGACAUUGUAUUAAACCAUGUCUACAUGCCUAAAUGCACUGAGUUGCCCCCAUGUGAUUGGCUGAUGAGAAAUUAAGUGUUAACGAGAAGUUAGACAGGUAUACCUAAUAAAGUGGCCGGUGAGUGUACGUCGUAAUAGAACUUCCUGCAGUGUUACAACUUUUUGAAUACAUAGUACUGAAAUGUCACUGUCAUUGCACUGUUAACCCUUUAACACCGAACGUGUCGGAUGCGACACGUUUACGCAUAUCAUUUUUGAAGCCUCGUAACGCUGUAAUUACGUCACGCACAUGCCCCUGGUUGCUCUCAUUUGAAAGUACGGAAGUUGAUGUCCACACCAGUUUUUAUUUGAACUCAAUUGACCAAGUAAAACGGGAGAUAAUGUCAUUUGAGUUUUAUAGUUUUAUUGCACUCAUACAUAUGCAUUAAAACGCUGCAUGGACCAUGUGUCUAUCUCCAUAUUUCCAUAAUUUCUUGUCCUUUUUAAAAACCGAAAGCAGCACAAAAGACUACAUAUCCCAAGAGCCGUUGUGAUGUCAAGAAGGACGAACCUAAUGUGAACAUUUUUAAUAAAUUGCCGAGCUAGGCGCCAACUAAGGAAAAGGAGGCAUGAACACCGGUUGGAUUGCGCGAGCGACUUUGAAACGUGCAGAAUGAAUCGAAAACUAAAUUUAGCGCAAGCUAAUGCAUUUUUUCAUUAACUCAAAGAAUAGGAUGAGCUGUAUUUGUCGUUCUUUUCUUCGGAUUAGUCGGCGUAUCGGCGAGUAGAAGUAACAGCAGCGCUCAAACGGCGAAAGAGUAGGCUGUGUGACAUUGUAUGUGACGCAGCUCAGUGACCUGUUCAAAAACAAACUUUAUUGAGUGCGCAAAAAAAUAUAUAUAUAAAAAAAAAAAAAACUUUAUUGGGUCGCAUGCCUGAAAAAUUGAAUUGAUUGAGCUACUUGUCAAUAUUUUUGAAAAUACUUUUUUUCAAUGUUAUAUAUUUUUUUCUUCACUAUGAAUCUUUUCAAUUUUUAUAUAGAUGUGUGUUCGAGAAGCUUGAUUGCAUUUCAUAUAUACCUUUGAUAAGGUGAUGGGUACAAUACCUAACUUCACAAACCCGUUUUGUAUUGGAUGAUAUAUAAAAAAAAACUCACUAUUUUGCACUGUAUAUAACCUGUUUUGACCAUAGUAUGUGUAAAGGCCAAAAACGCCUAUUACCAUACCUGCUGCUUGUGUUGAAUUGUCAAACAUAAAACUAUUCAAUCUUAUAUUUUUCUAUUGAAUGUUUAUCCUAGCAAGUUAAAUGAAUAUUAUCAAGCUUCAAAACGGUUGGUUGAGCACAUUUGGUUGUCAGUGGGACAUCAACAUUACAAAUUUAAAAAACAGAUUUUGGGAUUCUUUUGUCUUUUGGGUCCAAAAUUUGGAUUAAAAUUGGUCAGUGAAGACAACAAACAGUUUGGACAUGAAGUUCAAGGUAUCCUGGAAAAAAGGGACCCGACUUGGCCAUUGUGAACAAUUUUUUCUUUGAAAUAUAAAGGCAACAUCAAAGGCAUGCAAAUUCGGCCAAAAUAGGCUUAGGUGUUAAAGGGUUAACAGAUAUCCAGGGUUUUCCCUACACUGUAAAUGCUAACAUUCAAAUUAAUUAAAUGUGAUAAGUGAACUAAACUCAAUUUUCAUCAACCUGUUGUGAACACUACUUUUAAAUAAGUAAGUAGUAAUUUGGGGUUGGAGAACUUGCUGAACUUGAUAUAUCCAAGUUAAGUCAAAUUAGAAAAAAUAAUUUCUUGUACCCAGUGUCCUUUGGGCGUUCUAUCAGACAUGCGCAGAUCUGCCCUGCCCACUUUCGCGCUCUUUCCAACACCUUUCUCAGUUAUUUUCGCCAUUGUGGGUUUACUUGUCCUCAGCACACUGAUUUGGCACUGCUGCAAUCGUCACACUUUUUCUGUUACAAACUGACCCGGCCCCUCAUCAGAGAAGGGAAAAGUCAUGUGGCCUUCACAGGAAAAGGUUUGGGGACCCCUGCUUUAGAGUGUUUGUCAUCUGCCCUUCCAUUUGCUUUUCUUCAUGUGCAGUGCUCCCCCUCCAUGUUUGAUCAAACUGCACUGAAAAUUUGAAAUUGUUUUAAAAUGCAUUAAUCGCAAAAAUCAGAGGACUAGAUCACAUUUCCCCCAGUUAUUUCACCACUUUAACUUUGGUCUAACCUAAUAUAGGAAUACAGAUAGAAAGAGUGCAGAGAUCACACUCGACGCCAUAACAACCUGGUGUGUUUAAGGUUGGUCAUUUAUGUGCCUAUAUUUUGAAAUUGUUGCCUUAAUUUUGUGUUCUUUUUCACCAUCCCCCAAUCAGGCUGAAGCAAAUGGUCAAAAGUCCACACAUACCUCAGUCUCAGCAAUUACAGGUCAACCAAAGCAGUAUUCUCUAAUGCAGUGGACUUGCAAGUACUGCACAUUUUCUGCUGAAAAGAGCCUACUUGCUUAAGCAUUACCGCUUAAAACAUGGAUACCACACUCGGACAUCCCUACUCCCAUGUCUUCAUAAGGACUGCCUCUGCACAUUUAAAUCUUUUAAUGCACUCAAAGUACACCUAUCGACAUGGCACUCUCAAAAAGAUGCAGGCAAAAGUGGAGAAACUGCAUUUGACCGUCAGUUGUGCAACUUUGUGGAGCCCUGCUCAGGAGCAGACUUCUUUACCCAUUUGCGAGGACAUCUUAAGCUGAGGCAAAUGGUUACUUGCCCAUAUCAAGACUAACUUUCAGAGCAGUAUUUAUUCGACCUUCACUGCACACAAAAGCAAAGAAAUGUGAAAUGUGUUUGAGCCAUAGUGUGGGUAGGACAUUUGUGUCUAAAUCAUUUAAUCCCAAUAAAAGUUGCUUUAAUAAAAAAAAACUUAUUUUUAAUCAAA